rnacentral:rRNA from 1 species
AAAACUUUCAACAACGGAUCUCUUGGUUCCCGCAUCGAUGAAGAACGCAGCGAAAUGCGAUAAGUAGUGUGAAUUGCAGAUUUCAGUGAAUCAUCGAAUCUUUGAACGCACAUUGCGCCCUCUGGUAUUCCGGAGGGCAUGCCUGUCCGAGCGUC